rnacentral:rRNA from 1 species
AUUGAACGCUGGCGGCAUGCCUUACACAUGCAAGUCGAACGGCAGCACGGGAGCAAUCCUGGUGGCGAGUGGCGAACGGGUGAGUAAUAUAUCGGAACGUGCCCAGUCGUGGGGGAUAACGUAGCGAAAGCUACGCUAAUACCGCAUACGAUCUAUGAAUGAAAGCGGGGGAUCGCAAGACCUCGCGCGAUUGGAGCGGCCGGUAUCAGAUUAGGUAGUUGGUGGGGUAAAGGCUCACCAAGCCGACGAGCUGUAGCUGGUCUGAGAGGACGACCAGCCACACUGGGACUGAGACACGGCCCAGACUCCUACGGGAGGCAGCAGUGGGGAAUUUUGGACAAUGGGCGCAAGCCUGAUCCAGCAAUGCCGCGUGCAGGAUGAAGGCCUUCGGGUUGUAAACUGCCUUUGUACGGAGCGAAAAGGCUUCCACUAAUACUGGGGGCUCAUGACGGUACCGUAAGAAUAAGCACCGGCUAACUACGUGCCAGCAGCCGCAGUAAUAC